CUUUUAAAGCGGCCGCGGCUGUGUGAGGGUGUGGUGGGGCUUCGUCUGCGGCGCUUUGGUCUGCAGGGCGUGCGAUCCCGGCCUUCUCGGUUUGUGGGCGCGUUUCCUCUAGUAUCCUUCUCCAGAGGAAUACCAAAUUUGAUCUCCCCAGUGAUUUGAGGUCCUUAGAUUGGAAAUGCCAAGCACGCUUUGAGGCAGGGCUGGAACAGCAAUGGUGAACAACAGGAGAAGUGCAAAGGAGAUGUGCACAGCUCUUGCUAAAUGCAAAGCUGGGAAUCUCAUGCCCCUUAGGCAGGAACCACUUUUUCAUGGGAUGAUUCACAUUUGUGUGUUAUUUGUACAGUGCACAGUGAUAACUGUGAUCCAUGAUAAGAUCAUAAUCCCUGGGAAGCCUUAUGUACCUCAGGUAAGGUAUAAGCCUGGCUUAUGAGCAGCACUGGAUAUUACCUGACUCAGAAGUCAUGCACAACUUCUAUGGGGGUUGAAGGUGUACAUCCUGUA